rnacentral:lncRNA from 1 species
GGGGAGUCGGUGCGAGCCCGGAGAAGGGGUGCAGAGCCCGGGGGCGGCUUUAGGGCAGGCAGAGCGGUGGGACGGGGGCAGGAGAGGGGCAGGGGGCAGCCGGGAGCCUCCGCAGAGCUCCGCCGCCGCGCAGCGAGCUCGGCUGGAGCGGGGCCGGGGCGCCCCAAAAUCCGCCGCGGGGAGAAAAAGGGGCCCGGGGCUGCCCCCCCUCUGCUCUCCCCUCCCCUCGGGCAGGUCAAGCGCGGUCGUCCGGAGCUAUCGAUCGCUCCGCGGGCUUGUAGUGAUUUGUUGGAAGGCUAAUGGAAUGAGUCAUCGACAGAGUGGAUUAUUUAAAGCACCAUGUGAGUCUAUAAUCAUGUAUAUAUACAAGUUAUUAUAUAUUGGAAAUCUGUCUCCUCCACUCCCUAGUCUCUUAUAAUCCUCUGACCAGGAACCAGGCAGUCCCCAUGUGGAAAUUUAGAAAAGAAAAAUCAGUAAUGCUCUUAGCAUCAAACAAUAAAUCCCGAAGUUAUUUGCCACCACAUUUAAUUAAAUAUUUUGAAAAGAAAAC